ACCUAUUAAGGCUCCUCUCACCGGGGCUGCAUAACCCUUUAGCCUCCAGGACUGGUCACUACUGGCAUGGAGACUUCUAGGGAGGGGUGGAGUUCGUGGUUCCCAGGACUGGCUUUUAUUGCAAGCUGUGUGGGCUGUUCUACACGAGCGAGGAGACAGCAAAGAUGAGCCACUGCCGCAGCGCUGUCCACUACAGGAACUUACAGAAAUAUUUGUCCCAGCUGGCCGAGGAGGGCCUCAAGGAGACCGAGGGGGCAGAUAGCCCGAGGCCAGAGGACAGCGGAAUCGUGCCACGCUUCGAAAGGAAAAAGCUCUGAUGCUUCUUCUUCUGCUGCUACUGCUGCUGCUGCAAGGUUGGAAAGGAGAGCUUGCCGAAGUGGGGCCUUCCUGAUUCUGGGGACAGGACUAAAGCCUGAGAGGAAGGAAAACCAAGCAGGGCACAUUGCUUGGGCUUGUUCCCAGAGACUCAGUGAAAUGCCCCUGAUAUGUCUCCAGGAGCAAGUCACCCAGGUGUGUCCAGCCCACUGAGGGUCACCAACUCUGUCCCUGCUGACUCUUGUUUCUCUCAAUCUU
rnacentral:sRNA from 1 species